rnacentral:rRNA from 1 species
UACGUAGGGUGCAAGCGUUAAUCGGAAUUACUGGGCGUAAAGCGUGCGCAGGCGGUUGUGCAAGACAGAUGUGAAAUCCCCGGGCUCAACCUGGGAAUUGCAUUUGUGACUGCACGGCUAGAGUGUGUCAGAGGGGGGUAGAAUUCCACGUGUAGCAGUGAAAUGCGUAGAGAUGUGGAGGAAUACCGAUGGCGAAGGCAGCCCCCUGGGAUAACACUGGCGCUCAUGGCACCGAAAGCGUGGGGAGCAAACAGG